CCGAGCGGCUGUGGCUCGGCGUACGGCCGCGGGGACGCCUUCGGGGAGGGCCCCGCGGAGGGGCGCUGACAGCCCGGCUUGAAUGGCUGACCCUUGGUCGGUCUCGGAUCCGGCCCGGGGCGGCGCCCCUACCUCGCGGCCCGGCCCACCGGGCUGACCGCUCAAACGCCUGCUCCCAGAUCUCUCCGUGCAGGACCUUUGAGCCCCACACUCCCCUUUCCUAAGACGGUGUCCUAUCCGCGAAGGUCGUGCGGGGAUGGAUGAGGCUCCCCACUCUAAAGAGACUGAAUUUGGCUGAAUGGCGUUCUCCCUAGGAGGCUCCUCCAGCACUCAGCCCUCACCGUCAGGAAGAAAUAGCCCGCCUGAAGUGGUUUUCCUGCACCAGAACUGCCUGGCGCUGGACUGGGAUGGGUCUGCAGUCCCCAUCUCAGAGCGCUGGGUUCUCCGUUCACCGGCCUCCCUUGACCCUUCUUCCUUCUGCCUGCCAAGCACUGAGGGUGAUGGAAUGGAAAGAAAGGACCCUGGACUGCCAACCUUGGACUUGUUUGACUUAAAACGCGCGCUUUCCGAGGCCAGAUCACUAAGAGCUCUGCAGCUUGCGCCUUCUUUCCUGCGGAUUCCCACUCCAGGGGACGCCAGCCCUGUGUUGGGAGGACACUGGAGCAGCUUGUGGAGAGGCCCCUGUGGGGUGGAACGGAGGCCGCCUGCCAAUAUCCAGAAACACCCGAGUCAGCCAUCUUGGUAGCCCACCUGCAGCCCCUAAGCUGGCUCACCCACCCUGAAUACCCGACCAAAGAAACUGCACAUGAUAAUCAAUGUCUACUGUUGUUUUCAACCAUUAAGUUUUGGGGUAACGUGACACAUGACAAUCAGGAAUAGACAAGUUCCCGGGGCAUGGAUCCCGGUGUCUCUGCCAUACGCCAGGGACGUUCGUGGGCUUGGACGAGGUGUCCACUCCAGCGGGCCCAGAGCUCCCACGACAGUUGUUCUGUGGCAAGCCUGGAGGCCUCACCAUCCGUGCAGCCCCGUCCUCAGCCAAGGACAGUGGGAACUCUGAGACUCCCCUCUCCACGGAUUCCAGCAGCACCACUGCGUCCUCAGCUCAGUAAUACGGGGUGGCCUGGCUGGACGCCAUCUCUCUGUGCCAGGGUGGGAGACGGCCACAGUAGCAAGCUGGGGUGGGCAAGGUGGACCUCAGGAAUUUCCCUUCCCUGGGGAUUGCAGUCCUGCAUUUCCUGUUUUUCACACCUGAAAAGGGCUGCCUCGUCUGUUUUGUCCAUGUUAAUGAUUGGUUACAGUGGAGGGCCAGUCUGGCACAGGAUUCUCUCCAAUAGCCCAUACAGAAGCCUCAAUCAAAUGUGUUUUUUUCAAAGGCAAGCUCUUUCUACGUUUGUGGGCAACCUGGUGAGCUCUGCAUCAAGGCUAGAAUUUAGUUAGUGGUGAUGGACUGACGUUGGUCUCUUAGUUGUGAUAAAGCUACCACGGAAAUGUAACGUGUGGACAUUAAAGGAAAUGGGUGGGGGGAGCUCUGUGUUACCUGUGCAUCUUUCCUGUAAAUGUGACAUUAUUGCAAUAAAAAAUGUUAAAUGAUCCA